UGAAAAAAAAAAAAAAAAAAACAUUAAAGUCGUCAACAAUGCGACGUCACCUGCCUGGCUGACUUGUGGGUUGGGGGCAUUUGUCUUGCUUCCGUAAUUUUGUUUACCAUUUCUGCCUCAUUCCCUUGACUGUGACCCUUCGUUCGUGGCGCAGAUUAAGAAGAUGGAAGCAUGGACCAGUCAGCACCGUCAGCUCUCAUGUGGAAGACAGACGCAGCAGCCCCGAGGGGUUCCCGCGGUCCCGGUCUGGCCUGUUGCAAGACAUAGCCACCUCAGGAUAGGAUCAUCCAGCAGAAUGUAACCAGCUGACUUACCAAUAUGCUGCUGCCACCACCUCAAAGGCCAUACAACAACAAUAAAAAAAUAUCUUCGUUUAUUAGAUCAAGAUAUGUGUCUCCUCUCACCCACCUGAAAGUGAUGACUGACAUGGCAGCAGGACCCACGUAUGCACACACUACAUUUGUGCGUUUGUCUCCUACAGCCAGCACACACCCUGUCUGCUGGUGCUAAUGGUCAGGGUUCCUCCUGCCUGAUACCAAGACUGUUGGAGUCUGCCUCUGGGAGAGGCAGUGAAGGGUAUUUUUGGGACCCUUGUUGAGUGCUAUUACUGCUGCUAUCUACUAUCUUGUGGGAGCUUUGGUAGCCCAACAAACAUCACAUGGCCAUGUGUAAAACACAAGAGACAAGCAUGGAUGGAGGUCACCGAGAAGCUGAAUAGCGUGUUCCCUUGUGUUCGACGAUCAAGAGAGCAAGUGGAAAAGAAGUGGCAAAAUCUCCUAUCAAAGGGGAAGCGUGCACUUUCAGCAAGAAAGCAGUAGCACCAUAGAACUGGUGGUGGUCCUUCACAGAAGACUACUGCUGGAGAUGACACCUUGACAGACCUGAUUGCCGACAUUGUGGGACCCGACAAUGUCUGUAUUACAGGGGUUACACUGGAUGGUCCUGCUGAUGCAAGUUUGAUUGGACUAGCUGACACUAACAGAUUGGAUUAUGAGGUGACAAUGGAGUUGACAGAAGAUGAUCCAGUCAUGAACUCCGCUCCUCAAGCUCUGCCACAACCUCCUCAAUGUAAUGUAGGUUCAGCUAGUGUAGCUCUUCCUAUUGAAUUGUCCACAUUGGCAAGCAGAGGGCCUCCUUCUCAACCACCCAUGAACCCUGUAUUUGAAGCAGGACUUCACAGUGAGCAGCAUGCAGAGGCAGUGAGGAAAGUGCUGCAUCAAAUGGAAGAAGCUUACAGGGCUCAAACAAUUGCUUAGCAGAACAUUGCCAAAUACUUUUCUAAAGAUUAAGCAAGUGUGGUUGAGAAAAUAAAAAGCUGCAAUAGUA